rnacentral:rRNA from 1 species
AUUGAACGCUGGCGGCAGGCCUAACACAUGCAAGUCGAACGGUAACAGGAAGCAGCUUGCUGCUUCGCUGACGAGUGGCGGACGGGUGAGUAAUGUCUGGGAAACUGCCUGAUGGAGGGGGAUAACUACUGGAAACGGUAGCUAAUACCGCAUAACGUCGCAAGACCAAAGAGGGGGACCUUAGGGCCUCUUGCCAUCGGAUGUGCCCAGAUGGGAUUAGCUAGUAGGUGGGGUAACGGCUCACCUAGGCGACGAUCCCUAGCUGGUCUGAGAGGAUGACUAGCCACACUGGAACUGAGACACGGUCCAGACUCCUACGGGAGGCAGCAGUGGGGAAUAUUGCACAAUGGGCGCAAGCCUGAUGCAGCCAUGCCGCGUGUAUGAAGAAGGCCUUCGGGUUGUAAAGUACUUUCAGCGGGGAGGAAGGGAGUAAAGUUAAUACCUUUGCUCAUUGACGUUACCCGCUGAAGAAGCACCGGCUAACUCCGUG